GACGAACGCUGGCGGCGUGCUUAACACAUGCAAGUCGAACGGAAAGGCCCCUUUGUGGGUACUCGAGUGUCGAACGGGUGAGUAACACGUGAGUAACCUGCCCUUGACUUCGGGAUAACUUUAGGAAACUGGGGCUAAUACCGGAUAGGAAUCCUUGCUGCAUGGUGGGGGUUGGAAAGCUUCGGCGGUUUUGGAUGGACUCGCUGCUUAUCAGCUUGUUGGUGGGGUAGUGGCUUACCAAGGCUUUGACGGGUAGCCGGCCUGAGAGGGCGACCGGCCACAUUGGGACUGAGAUACGGCCCAGACUCCUACGGGAGGCAGAAGUGGGGAAUAUUGCACAAUGGGCGGAAGCCUGAUGCAGCAACGCCGCGUGCGGGAUGACGGCCUUAGGGUUGUAAACCGCUUUCAGCAGGGGCGAAGCUUGUGGUGACGGUACCUGCAGAAGAAGCACCGGCUAACUACGUG
rnacentral:rRNA from 1 species